CCUACGGGAGGCAGCAGUGAGGAAUAUUUGUCAAUGGACGCAAGUCUGAACCAGCCAUGCCGCGUGCAGGAAGACGGCUCUAUGAGUUGUAAACUGCUUUUGUACGAGGGUAAACGCAGAUACGCGUAUCUGUCUGACAGUAUCGUACGAAUAAGGAUCGGCUAACUCCGUGCCAGCAGCCGCGGUAAUACGGAGGAUUCAAGCGUUAUCCGGAUUUAUUGGGUUUAAAGGGUGCGUAGGCGGUCGGAUAAGUUAGCGGUGAAAUCCCGAGGCUCAACUUCGGAAUUGCCUCUGAUACUGUCAGGCUAGAGAGUAGGUGCGGUAGGCGGAAUGUACGGUGUAGCGGUGAAAUGCUUAGAGAUCAUACAGAACACCGAUUGCGAAGGCAGCUUACCAAGCUACUUCUGACGUUGAGGCACGAAAGCGUGGGGAGCAAACAGGAUUAGAUACCCCUGUAGUC
rnacentral:rRNA from 1 species